rnacentral:rRNA from 1 species
UACGAGGGGGGCAAGCGUUGUUCGGAAUUAUUGGGCGUAAAGGGCGCGUAGGCGGUGCGGUAAGUCUGAUGUGAAAUCUCCGGGCUCAACUCGGAGUCUGCAUCAGAAACUGCAGUGCUGGAGUGUGGGAGAGGUGAGUGGAAUUCCCGGUGUAGCGGUGAAAUGCGUAGAUAUCGGGAAGAACACCCGUGGCGAAGGCGGCUCUCUGGGACGGUACUGACGCUGAGACGCGAAAAGCGUGGGGGAGCCGAACAGGG